AGAGUUUGAUCCUGGCUCAGGAUGAACGCUAGCUACAGGCUUAACACAUGCGAAGUCGAGGGGAAACGACAUCGAAAGCUUGCUUUUGAUGGUCGUCGACCGGCGCACGGGUGAGUAACGCGUAUCCAACCUGCCCAUCACUUGGGGAUAACCUUGCGAAAGUAAGACUAAUACCCAAUGAUAUCUCUAGAAGACAUCUGAAAGAGAUUAAAGAUUUAUACGGUGAUGGAUGGGGAGUGCGUCUGAUUAGCUUGUUGGCGGGGUAACGGCCCACCAAGGCAACGAUCAGUAGGGGUUCUGAGAGGAAGGUCCCCCACAUUGGAACUGAGACACGGUCCAAACUCCUACGGGAGGCAGCA
rnacentral:rRNA from 1 species